rnacentral:lncRNA from 1 species
AUUUUCUUAGCCCGAGGACUCUCCUCCAGCAAUAUUAGUCCAAGACUCAGGCAGCCCAUUGUCUCACUUGGAACUGUCAGGAAUCAAGUGGUGACGGAGGCUCUCCUUGUCCGGGCGCGGUUUUUCCAUCACGGAACCGAGACCCGGAGAAGUGAAUCCUUUUCCAACCUCCAGGCCGCUGUGGCCGUGGAUUACCGAACUUGGCAAAAGCCAGCUUCUUCUAAAGGUGGAGAGACUACGGUAACGACCCCCACGCACCCUUCGUCUGAUCUGAGCCGCUGGCAAUUCGUAGACCUCGUUCUGCCCAUCGAAACCCUCACCUCCCACCCCAGCGAACCCGAAUGCCGUAUGUUCUAAUGUGAAUUUAUGGAUCUAAACGUAUGUGUUGUAUUUCGAUCCACUUUGAUGAUCACAUCAUCCCAUCUGUGGUCAGGAGAAGCCUCCUAACUCCUCAGGGUGUGGUGUGACAGAGCGUCCCCGGCUCCCUCGUGUGCGCACGGGCCCAGGUCAGCCGAUUCUCCAGGGGACUCUAGUUUCUCCACCGAGAAAUGGUGUCUCAAGACCGCACUGCUGGAGCGUGUAAUUACACACAAACACACAUGUGAGUGUGCAUGGCGACCUUGCUGUGUCUGCACCCCCUCUUGUAUGUAUCACAGAGAUCAUUACUGAGAAACAGUCACAAGGCGGUUUCCAAAUAUCAUUGCUAAAUCGACUACCUAGCAGGUGAUCAAAGCACGUGCGCUGGCAGGUGGGAGGAAGUCCCUCUCGUUAUGGAAGGGCCAGGGCGGGGGGACGGCCUUGGAGAGAACUGUGACUGUGACCAGGGGCCCUCCAGCAGGAGCCCUUCUGGCCUUUUGGGGACGACAAAGAGCCCUGCAUUGUGUGUG